rnacentral:rRNA from 1 species
GAGUUUGAUGCUGGCUCAGAUUGAACGCUGGCGGCAGGCCUAACACAUGCAAGUCGAGCGCGAAAAGCUUUCGGGCUGAGUAGAGCGGCGGACGGGUGAGUAACGCGUAGGAAUCUACCUGGUAGUGGGGGACAACUUGGGGAAACUCAAGCUAAUACCGCAUACGCCCUAAGGGGGAAAACGAUGUCUACUAGCCGUUGGGAGACUUGAUUUCUUAGUGGCGCAGCUAACGCAAUAAGUAGACCGCCUGGGGAGUACGGCCGCAAGGUUAAAACUCAAAUGAAUUGACGGGGGCCCGCACAAGCGGUGGAGCAUGUGGUUUAAUUCGAUGCAACGCGAAGAACCUUACCAGGUCUUGACAUCCUGCGAAUUUUCUAGAGAUAGAUUAGUGCCUUCGGGAACGCAGUGACAGGUGCUGCAUGGCUGUCGUCAGCUCGUGUCGUGAGAUGUUGGGUUAAGUCCCGUAACGAGCGCAACCCUUGUCCUUAGUUGCCAGCACAUAAUGGUGGGAACUCUAAGGAGACUGCCGGUGACAAACCGGAGGAAGGUGGGGACGACGUCAAGUCAUCAUGGCCCUUACGACCUGGGCUACACACGUGCUACAAUGGAACGCACAGAGGGCUGCAAAGGCGCGAGCUGGAGCGAAUCCCACAAAACGUUUCGUAGUCCGGAUUGGAGUCUGCAACUCGACUCCAUGAAGUCGGAAUCGCUAGUAAUCGUGAAUCAGAAUGUCACGGUGAAUACGUUCCCGGGCCUUGUACACACCGCCCGUCACACCAUGGGAGUGGGUUGCACCAGAAGAGGCUAGUCUAACUUCGGAGGACGGUCUCCACGGUGUGAUUCAUGACUGGGGUGAAGUCGUAACAAGGUAGCCCUAGGGGAACCUGGGGCUGGAUCACCUCCUUUCU